UACAGAGGGGGCAAGCGUUGUCCGGAAUCAUUGGGCGUAAAGAGCGCGUAGGCGGCCCUGUAAGUCCGCUGUGAAAGUCAAGGGCUCAACCCUUGGAUGCCGGUGGAUACUGCAGGGCUAGAGUCCGGAAGAGGCGAGUGGAAUUCCUGGUGUAGCGGUGGAAUGCGCAGAUAUCAGGAGGAACACCGGUGGCGAAGGCGGGUCUCUGGGCAGUAACUGACGCUGAGGAGCGAAAGCGUGGGGAGCGAACAGG
rnacentral:rRNA from 1 species